UUCAGAUAGGAAAACAGAAACUACUCUAGACUUUUCAGUGGGAGAAAGUUAAUAUCAGGACCGAAACACAGGGUAAUGAAAAGCCAAAGAGACCAACAAGGAGCGAUGAGGCAGCCUGAAGAUGAAGGGUUGCAGACGUUGCUGCCACUCCUAGGACUGGAGUCACGGUGGGAGGUGGCUGGCUUUCGGAUCCCAGAGGCUGGGCUGAACAGGACUGAAGGCUGUGUUCCAUCUCCUCAUGGGCUCCCGCCAGGCACCCCUGAGAGCGCAGGAGGGGAAAGGCUUUCUUCUUGAUCCUAUUACUCCUGCCCAGCACCAGGCAGGAUUAAUUAACCCACCAGGUUUUGCUUCAUUACCAGGAAGAAAGAAGAGCCAGCGACAGCGGAUUCAAACAUGGAGAAGGCAAAGAAUUCGGUGCUCGCGGGCCCUAGAGCCCUUCUAGGACAGCCGGCCUGGCAAGAGGGUGACCCGGUGCCAGUACAAACCCUCAAGCGCCCUUGUGUGUCAUCCUCAGAAUUCGCACUUGGAGUCCACAAAACCCGACACAGACUUUGAGCUGAGCCCCACGGGGGCCAAUGACAAACUGUCUGCUUCUUCCAGGCUCUGUGUCUCGGCGGAACUGGGAGUGUGAUCGUACCUACCCUCCAGGGUUGUCGUGAGAAUUAAUUAAAUGUGGUACCGUGUGUGAAAGUU